rnacentral:rRNA from 1 species
GAUGAACGCUGGCGGCGUGCCUAAUACAUGCAAGUCGAGCGAACAGACGAGGAGCUUGCUCCUCUGACGUUAGCGGCGGACGGGUGAGUAACACGUGGAUAACCUACCUAUAAGACUGGGAUAACUUCGGGAAACCGGAGCUAAUACCGGAUAAUAUAUUGAACCGCAUGGUUCAAUAGUGAAAGACGGUUUUGCUGUCACUUAUAGAUGGAUCCGCGCCGCAUUAGCUAGUUGGUAAGGUAACGGCUUACCAAGGCAACGAUGCGUAGCCGACCUGAGAGGGUGAUCGGCCACACUGGAACUGAGACACGGUCCAGACUCCUACGGGAGGCAGCAGUAGGGAAUCUUCCGCAAUGGGCGAAAGCCUGACGGAGCAACGCCGCGUGAGUGAUGAAGGUCUUCGGAUCGUAAAACUCUGUUAUUAGGGAAGAACAAAUGUGUGAGUAACUAUGCACGUCUUGACGGUACCUAAUCAGAAAGCCACGGCUAACUACGUG